UAGUCAUAUGCUUGUCUCAAAGAUUAAGCCAUGCAUGUCUAAGUAUAAGCACUCUUGUACCGUGAAACUGCGAAUGGCUCAUUAAAUCAGUUAUCGUUUAUUUGAUAGUACCCUACUACAUGGAUACCUGUGGUAAUUCUAGAGCUAAUACAUGCGCAAAACCCCGACUUCGGAAGGGGUGUAUUUAUUAGAUAAAAAACCAAUGCCCUUCGGGGCUCCUUGGUGAUUCAUAAUAACUUCACGAAUCGCAUGGCCUUGCGCCGGCGAUGGUUCAUUCAAAUUUCUGCCCUAUCAACUUUCGAUGGUAGGAUAGUGGCCUACCAUGGUGGCAACGGGUAACGGGGAAUUAGGGUUCGAUUCCGGAGAGGGAGCCUGAGAAACGGCUACCACAUCCAAGGAAGGCAGCAGGCGCGCAAAUUACCCAAUCCCGAUACGGGGAGGUAGUGACAAUAAAUACUGAUACAGGGCUCUUUUGGGUCUUGUAAUUGGAAUGAGAACAAUCUAAAUCCCUUAUCGAGGAUCAAUU
rnacentral:rRNA from 1 species